CAUAAGUUGUUUGUUCAAGUAGCAAUUAGGACUCAUAUUUAGUUUCAACGUGAAUUCAAUUAGGACUCAUAUUUAGGUUUAUAGUGGCGGUGUCCUCUAAUUGCCGUAGUAGUUAUGACAGCAGCAAAGCAGUAAAGUAAUUUAUUUU